UACGUAGGGGGCAAGCGUUGUCCGGAAUUAUUGGGCAUAAAGAGCGUGUAGGCGGCCAGAUAAGUCCGCUGUGAAAUCUCGAGGCUCAACUUCGAGCUGUCGGUGGAAACUAUCUGGCUAGAGUCCGGAAGAGGAGAAUGGAAUUCCUGGUGUAGCGGUGAAAUGCGCAGAUAUCAGGAAGAACACCCGUGGCGAAGGCGGUUCUCUGGGCCUGACCUGACGCUGAGGAGCGAAAGCGUGGGGAGCGAACAGG
rnacentral:rRNA from 1 species